CUAUGCUAGGAUGUGAUGCGGGGCGAAAUUUAGUAGCGAAGUAGCUGAUUUCACACUGUCGAGAAAAGUCUCUAUCGAGGUUAUAGGUGCCUGUACCGCAAACCGACACAGGUGGGUGAGGAGAGUAUCCUAAGGCCAGCCAGAGAACUGUUGUUAAGGAACUCGGCAAAAUGACCCCGUAACUUCGGGAGAAGGGGUGCCUGUCUAUGACAGGCCGCAGAGAAUAGGCCCAAGCGACUGUUUACCAAAAACACAGGUUUCUGCUAAGUCGCAAGACGAUGUAUAGGAGCUGACGCCUGCCCGGUGCUGGAAGGUUAAGGGGAUCUGUUAGAGCAAUCGAAGCAGUGAACUUAAGCCCCAGUAAACGGCGGCCGUAACGAUAACGGUCCUAAGGUAGCGAAAUUCCUUGUCGGGUAAGUUCCGACCCGCACGAAAGGCGUAACGAUUUGGGCACUGUCUCAACAACAGACUGGGUGAAAUUGUAAUACCGGUGAAGAUGCCGGUUACCUGCGACAGGGCGGAAAGACCCCAUGGAGCUUUACUGUAGCUUGACAUUGGGUCUUGGUACUACAUGUACAGGAUAGGUGGGAGACUAUGAAGCCGGAACGCCAGUUUCGGUGGAGUCAUCCUUGGGAUACCACCCUUGUAGUACUGGGACUCUAACCAUAGGCCAUGAAUCUGGUCUUGGGACACUGUCAGGUGGGCAGUUUGACUGGGGCGGUCGCCUCCUAAAAAGUAACGGAGGCGCUCAAAGGUUCUCUCAGUACGGUCGGAAAUCGUACGUAGAGUGUAAAGGCACAAGAGAGCUUGAUUGCAAGACAUACAGGUCGAGCAAGGACGAAAGUCGGACUUAGUGAUCCGGUGGUUCCGCAUGGAAGGGCCAUCGCUCAACGGAUAAAAGCUACCCUGGGGAUAACAGGCUUAUCUCCCCCAAGAGUCCACAUCGACGGGGAGGUUUGGCACCUCGAUGUCGGCUCAUCACAUCCUGGGGCUGUAGUAGGUCCCAAGGGUUGGGCUGUUCGCCCAUUAAAGUGGUACGCGAGCUGGGUUCAGAACGUCGUGAGACAGUUCGGUCCCUAUCCGUCGCAGGCGUAGGAAAUUUGAGGAGACCUGUCCUUAGUACGAGAGGACCGGGAUGGACGCACCGCUGGUGUACCAGUUGUUCUGCCAAGGGCAUAGCUGGGUAGCUAAGUGCGGAAUGGAUAAGCGCUGAAAGCAUCUAAGCGCGAAGCCGACUUCAAGAUAAGAUUUCCCACCGUAAGGGUAAGACCCCAGGAAGACUACCUGGUUGAUAGGUCGGAGGUGGAAGUGCAGUAAUGUAUGUAGCUUACCGAUACUAAUAGGUCGAGGACUUGAUC
rnacentral:rRNA from 1 species